AGCGCAUACGGUGGAUGCCUUGGCAGUCAGAGGCGAUGAAAGACGUGGUAGCCUGCGAAAAGCUUCGGGGAGUCGGCAAACAGACUUUGAUCCGGAGAUGUCUGAAUGGGGGAACCCAGCCAUCAUAAGAUGGUUAUCUUACGCUGAAUACAUAGGCGUAAGAGGCGAACCAGGGGAACUGAAACAUCUAAGUACCCUGAGGAAAAGAAAUCAACCGAGAUUCCCUUAGUAGUGGCGAGCGAACGGGGACUAGCCCUUAAGUGGCUUUGAGAUUAGCGGAACGCUCUGGAAAGUGCGGCCAUAGUGGGUGAUAGCCCUGUACGCGAAAAUCUCUUAGUCAUGAAAUCGAGUAGGACGGAGCACGAGAAACUUUGUCUGAAUAUGGGGGGACCAUCCUCCAAGGCUAAAUACUACUGACUGACCGAUAGUGAACUAGUACCGUGAGGGAAAGGCGAAAAGAACCCCGGAGAGGGGAGUGAAAUAGAUCCUGAAACCGUAUGCGUACAAGCAGUGGGAGCCCACUUUGUUGGGUGACUGCGUACCUUUUGUAUAAUGGGUCAGCGACUUAUUUUCAGUGGCGAGCUUAACCGAAUAGGGGAGGCGUAGCGAAAGCGAGUCUUAAUAGGGCGUCUAGUCGCUGGGAAUAGACCCGAAACCGGGCGAUCUAUCCAUGGGCAGGUUGAAGGUUGGGUAACACUAACUGGAGGACCGAACCGACUACCGUUGAAAAGUUAGCGGAUGACCUGUGGAUCGGAGUGAAAGGCUAAUCAAGCUCGGAGAUAGCUGGUUCUCCUCGAAAGCUAUUUAGGUAGCGCCUCAUGUAUCACUGUAGGGGGUAGAGCACUGUUUCGGCUAGGGGGUCAUCCCGACUUACCAAACCGAUGCAAACUCCGAAUACCUACAAGUGCCGAGCAUGGGAGACACACGGCGGGUGCUAACGUCCGUCGUGAAAAGGGAAACAACCCAGACCGUCAGCUAAGGUCCCAAAGUUAUGGUUAAGUGGGAAACGAUGUGGGAAGGCUUAGACAGCUAGGAGGUUGGCUUAGAAGCAGCCACCCUUUAAAGAAAGCGUAAUAGCUCACUAGUCGAGUCGGCCUGCGCGGAAGAUGUAACGGGGCUCAAACCAUACACCGAAGCUACGGGUAUCACGUAAGUGAUGCGGUAGAGGAGCGUUCUGUAAGCCUGUGAAGGUGAGUUGAGAAGCUUGCUGGAGGUAUCAGAAGUGCGAAUGCUGACAUGAGUAACGACAAUGGGUGUGAAAAACACCCACGCCGAAAGACCAAGGUUUCCUGCGCAACGUUAAUCGACGCAGGGUUAGUCGGUCCCUAAGGCGAGGCUGAAAAGCGUAGUCGAUGGAAAACAGGUUAAUAUUCCUGUACUUCUGGUUAUUGCGAUGGAGGGACGGAGAAGGCUAGGCCAGCUUGGCGUUGGUUGUCCAAGUUUAAGGUGGUAGGCUGGAAUCUUAGGUAAAUCCGGGAUUCUAAGGCCGAGAGCUGAUGACGAGUCAUCUUUUAGAUGACGAAGUGGUUGAUGCCAUGCUUCCAAGAAAAGCUUCUAAGCUUCAGGUAACCAGGAACCGUACCCCAAACCGACACAGGUGGUUGGGUAGAGAAUACCAAGGCGCUUGAGAGAACUCGGGUGAAGGAACUAGGCAAAAUGGCACCGUAACUUCGGGAGAAGGUGCGCCGGUGAGGGUGAAGGACUUGCUCCGUAAGCUCAUGCCGGUCGAAGAUACCAGGCCGCUGCGACUGUUUAUUAAAAACACAGCACUCUGCAAACACGAAAGUGGACGUAUAGGGUGUGACGCCUGCCCGGUGCCGGAAGGUUAAUUGAUGGGGUUAGCUAACGCGAAGCUCUUGAUCGAAGCCCCGGUAAACGGCGGCCGUAACUAUAACGGUCCUAAGGUAGCGAAAUUCCUUGUCGGGUAAGUUCCGACCUGCACGAAUGGCGUAACGAUGGCGGCGCUGUCUCCACCCGAGACUCAGUGAAAUUGAAAUCGCUGUGAAGAUGCAGUGUAUCCGCGGCUAGACGGAAAGACCCCGUGAACCUUUACUAUAGCUUUGCACUGGACUUUGAAUUUGCUUGUGUAGGAUAGGUGGGAGGCUUUGAAGCGUGGACGCCAGUCUGCGUGGAGCCAACCUUGAAAUACCACCCUGGCAACUUUGAGGUUCUAACUCAGGUCCGUUAUCCGGAUCGAGGACAGUGUAUGGUGGGUAGUUUGACUGGGGCGGUCUCCUCCUAAAGAGUAACGGAGGAGUACGAAGGUGCGCUCAGACCGGUCGGAAAUCGGUCGUAGAGUAUAAAGGCAAAAGCGCGCUUGACUGCGAGACAGACACGUCGAGCAGGUACGAAAGUAGGUCUUAGUGAUCCGGUGGUUCUGUAUGGAAGGGCCAUCGCUCAACGGAUAAAAGGUACUCCGGGGAUAACAGGCUGAUACCGCCCAAGAGUUCAUAUCGACGGCGGUGUUUGGCACCUCGAUGUCGGCUCAUCACAUCCUGGGGCUGAAGCCGGUCCCAAGGGUAUGGCUGUUCGCCAUUUAAAGUGGUACGCGAGCUGGGUUUAGAACGUCGUGAGACAGUUCGGUCCCUAUCUGCCGUGGACGUUUGAGAUUUGAGAGGGGCUGCUCCUAGUACGAGAGGACCGGAGUGGACGAACCUCUGGUGUUCCGGUUGUCACGCCAGUGGCAUUGCCGGGUAGCUAUGUUCGGAAUAGAUAACCGCUGAAAGCAUCUAAGCGGGAAACUAGCCUCAAGAUGAGAUCUCACUGGAACCUUGA
rnacentral:rRNA from 1 species